CAGUCGCCACGGUAAUACGAGGGGGGCAAGCGUUAUUCGGAUUGAUUGGGUGUAAAGGGUGUGCAGACGGCUUAUUAAGUCACUUGUUAAAUUCUUCGGCCUAACUGAAGGUCUGCAAGUGAUACUGAUGAGCUAGAGGGUGGAAGAGAGAAGUGGAAUUCUCGGAGUAGCGGUAAAAUGCGUAGAUCUCGAGAGGAACACCAAUGGCGAAGGCAGCUUCUUGGUCCAUUCCUGACGUUCAUACACGAAAGCGUGGGGAGCAAACAGGAUUAGAGACCCCAGUAGUCCCUGUCUCUUAUAC
rnacentral:rRNA from 1 species